CCCACGUCUCCUGUUUGGAUUCUAUUAUCACUGAGCCACCUGGGAAGCAUUGGGUAUCAGCAGACCUAUCUGUUAAUACCAUCAAGAAAUGUUCCAAGGCACUUCCAUGCCUGUGGGUGAACAUUAGAGCCAUUCUAAACCAAUGCUAACAUCUGCAUGCUUCAUGGAAGACCUCUGAGAAUGCAAACACAAUCAUCACCAUGUCCAAAAAGGCACAUCCAGUGGGCACCUGGCAGACCUCCCAUGACAGUAGUGGUUCUGGAGCACAAGUGAGGUUUCAGUAGGACUUCGUCUGUUUGUCCAGGCUCUCAUCUACUCAAUACACAUUUUUGAGCAUUUACUGUGUUCUAGGCACAGUUCUGACCAUAGGAGUAUAGUGAUAGGUAGACAGACAAGGUUCCUGCCUUCAGGGAGCUGACAUUCCAGUAGGGAAGAGCCAACUUCACCUCUCCAAAGCCAACCGGUCUUAGUCUUCCUUCCUCAUUCUCAUCAUUGCUUUCAUUACCAGCCCUACUCUGCCUGCCCUGCCCCCCCACCACACACACAUGCCUCCCCUCUCUAGUCAGCCUGCAAAACUGCAUGCUCUGCUUGUGGUUUUAUCACCCUGGAUGCCUUGCCUUGUGUAUAAGCAUCUCUUCAUCUCCAAUGUGUCUACAUGUCGCCUUUGUGCCUAACAUGGUUAGAAGUACUUUGUGGACCCUGCAUAAAAUCAACUAAAUGAAGGCCUGGCUCUUGGCAUGAAGGCUGAACUUUUUUUUUUUUUAAUUAAGCUUUUUAAUUUUAGAACAGUUUUUUUAUUCACAGAAAAGUUGUAAAGAUAAUGUACAGAGUUCCCACAUACCCUUCAGCCUGCUCCUACGGUCAGCAUCUGACAUCACAGUGGUAUGUUUGUUACAGUUAAGGAACCAAUAUUGAUACCUUCUUAUUAAGUCCAUAUUUGAUUCAGGUUUCCCUAGCCUUUGCACUGAUUUCCUUUUUCUGUUGCAGGGUCUCACCUAGGAUGCUGCACCACGGGUGGUUGUCAUGUCUCCUUAACUCCUGUGGUCUGAUGGUCUCUUGUCAUGUUUGUCAUGGAGUUUUGACAGAUUUGAAGAGUUUUAGCUAGGUGCUGUGUAGAAUGCCCUGCCGGUUGGGUUUGUCUGAUGCAGUUUUCAGUUACACCAGGGCUGUGGGCUAUUGGAGGAAGCCAGCAGCGCAGAAGUGCCCUCCUCACAUCGUAUCAGGGGGGAUGUGCCGCCCACAUGACAGGACGGUGAAAUCAGUCUUGAGCACCUGGCCGAAGUCCUGUUUGCCAGGUUUCCCCACUGAAAGUGACCCUGUUCUUCUUUUACCUGCUCUGUUGUUUGGAAGCAAGUCACUAAGUGCAGCACCUCCACCCCUCACGGAGGAAGGGAGUGGGGAGGAUUAGACUCCACCUCCUGGAGGGUAGUAUUUAUAUUAAUCAUUUAAGUUCUUCUGUAAGAAAGAACUUACUUAUUUAGUCAACCACUUAUAUCGGUAUGGACUCUAGUGUAUAUUUAAAAAUUUGGUUUAUCAUCUGAUGAUUAGGCUCAGAUUGUUUCAAGUUUGGCCAUUGGGUGUUCUUUUUAGGUUGACUCCUAUGUCCCUUCAACAUACCCCGUCCUUUUGUUUUUUGAGUGUUUCUAUACUUUCUGGCACUCCUGUGGAUUUCCUGUCCCAGCCCUAGAACCCAUCAUUUCUCCAAGGAGCCCUGAUUCCUUCCACUGGGGAGGCCUGUUUUUCAAUCCAGACCUCAGCAUCACUUACACACCCACUCAGUCAGCCAUUCAAGGAAUAUGGAUGUAUAUUCUAUCGUGCUGAUCAUUGACCCAGAUGUGGAAUAUACAGUGGGGAACAGCGCAGACAGGUCCAUGCCUUCAACCAUUAGUGGUGUGGCCUGCAAGACAGACAGUGAGCAAAUCUCAGCUGAGAAAUACAUAACUUUGAUACAUGCUGUGAAAGGAAGGGACAGGAGACUCAGAUGAAAAAUAAUCUACGUCAGGGGCCUGGGGUACAUCAGGUUGCUGGAGAAGGCCCCUGUGAGCAGCUAGCAUCCAGGUGGAAAGCUGAAGGAUAAGAACUACUCAGCCAUUCAAAGAGCAGAGGGAGGAGUGUUUUCAAACUGCGGGUUAGUGGGGCACAGCUAGAUUUUUUAAAAAAGGAAUAGAACAUACUAGAAGUAUUAUCAUGUGGAGCUCAAAUUCUUUUUAUGUGUAGGUUGAUGUGUUCACUAAUAGAACAUUUCUUACUGGGGAUGAUUGUCAGAAGAAAAUUUGGAAGCCACUGUUUUAGGAGGAAAUAAAGGCAGAUGAAAGCUCUGAAAAGAGAAGAAGCCAUAACAUACUUGAGGAUCUGAAAGGAAGUGGGUGUGCCUGUGGGGAAUGAACCUAGCAUGUGAGAAGAGGCCAAAAACAGGGAGGCAGGCAGCCCACUAGUAGGGCUGAGGAGGCCUUGGUAUUUUAAUGGAGAAGCAGUGGGAAGUCAUUGGAGGGUUUCAAACAGGGAAGUGUGGAUAUUUAAGAAAAACUUCUAGGCUCCUGUUUUGUGGAGAAUGGAAGGAGAGAGCAAAUGAGGAAACCGGGGCCAGUGAGUGAGAAGGGUCGUCCAGAGAGAAAACAGCAAGAAGAGUCAGUCUCGCUCUCCCAGCCACUGGAACGGUGCCUGGAACACAGUAGCCCUGUGGUGUACAUGUGUUGAAUGGGUAAAUUACACGAUCGUAGUAAAGAUGGGGAGAGAUGGUUGAGUCAAGACAUGUUUGGGCAGUGGAAGGUCUUGCUGUCAGAUUGGGUCUGGGGUCACGGGCGGGGGAGGGUAAGCGCCCUCCCUCACGCGCCGCACCUGCCGGUGCGCACAUAUGCUCACUUCCUCUGCUGCUGGACUGCGUCGGGCAGUUACAGAGUCUUUAACUGUUUAGACUGUGUUUCUCCCCUGUGCUUAGUCAUAGUGGCCAGAAGUGGAAAUAACAGAAUUUUUCAAGAGAAACAGAUUGUUGGAGAAUCACAAAAACCAGUUCUUAUCACAGAUUGUCAGUCCCACGAGACUUUGUAAUCUUGGAUGCCCUGAAGCUCUGGGAACAUCAGUCACUAACAAAUAAAGUGCCAAUGCCUGAGGUCUGCAGCUGGCUGCCCACUUGGCUGCUGGCUUCCUCGGCAGAGGGCAGCCACCUCCCAUCACUGUGGAGGGACUGGGAAGAGGACGGGCCUACUCUGAGCCAACAGGGAGCAGAAAACAGAAGGAACCAGACCCCAGGAACAGAAACACUGCCAAAUACAGUCCUUCCUGUAGAAGCCAAGAUCGAGCCCACAUUUGAGCCUAGCAGAAUAGCAGAUGGAAGGAAGGCUUCCCUGACCGUCAAGUGUUGGGCAAGUCAGGGCCCAUCUCGUGUCUUCAUCGCAAGAAAGAAGUUUCACUGGUUCAGAACCAAACUUAAGCAGCAGGUGUUCAGAGCUGGGGUGUAGAAGUUUCAGCUUUGAUUUUUCUAUGAAAUCGUUCAGGUUAUUAAAAUGUCGGCCCUAUUCUCUUGUUUAAGAACUGGUUUCAUUUCUAAUGACACAGCACCAUCAUGCCAUUCCUUGAUUUAGUCACGAGAACCAAAACUAAUAUGUGGCUAGUUUCAAGUCGUUUUUAUAGCAGUUAGUACAGAGAACAACAGGCUCUUGUAAAAACAGAUGUAUUUGCUAUCUGCUUCUCUAUCUGCUGCCUCUCAGACUCAAAACCUGAUUUCUAAGAUGGCGUGGUCCUCUGGUUGGGCCUCGUGGGAGACACUCUUGCCCAGGACAAAAGCCUGGCUGUUCUCAGUGUGAAAUUUUUCAUAAGAAACAGGAGUCCCAUCCGCUAUUGAUCCUAUGUGUAAAACAGGCGACUAAGGAGACCUUACUCAGGAAACCCUGCUCAGUGCUCUGUGCUGACCUAAAGGGGAAGGAAAUCCAGAAAAGAGGGGAUGUAUGUAUACAUAUUGCUGAUUCACUUUUGCUGUACAGUGAAAACUAACAUAACACUGUAAGGCAACCAUACUCCAAUAAAAAUUAAUUAAAAAAAAAAAAAGUCACAGCCCCCAAGCGUUGUAAGAAUGGUAAAGGGGUAUCAGAAAGAGACCUUUCACCUCUUUAGACAGGAUUCACCUGGCAUUAUUGUCCAUUGUGAACACAGAGGAGGUUUUUUUAUUUGACGAGUGUCUAUAAACUUCUUCAAGGCUUUGUGGUAUUAACAUGAGAAAGUGAGCAUACAUUUAGCAUUCUUGGAAAAAGCAUGGCCUUCCUAAUAAUGCUAACAGUCUCAGAGUGACACCACAGCCAGUGUCCUGAUUGAGGCUUCAUCAUCUACAAGCAGGUUAGAUAGCAAAUGCUUACAGAUGAGGAAACAGAGACUCUGAAUUUUCCAUGGCUGCAGAGAGAGAAGGUUGUGGAAUUUAGAGUCCUGGGCUAACCUCUGUUGUGUAAUUGCUUGAUCUCUCUGUGUAUGAGUUUCCUCACAUAUAAAAUGUAAAUAAUAAUAGUAGUUAAAAACCCCUCAUUGGUGGUAGUGAGGAUCAUGUAAAGUCAUGCAUGUACAGUGUUUAGGUCAGCACCUGACAUGUAGUUUGCACUCAGUAAAUGUUCGUUGUAAUUAUCACUACCUUCACUAUCCUUUUUUCUCAGUCACAAAUUAAAUGCCCUUGCGUCUUUAACUCACACAUGUACAACCCACCUACUGGGUCUCCCCCCAGUCUCAGUUAUACACUUGAUCUCAAGUUGUCUUCCAGCAUCUGUCUCAGACUAGGGCACGUCUUGCUUCCAUGCUGGAAAGAUGGCUUCCUCUGGGGUCAUCUCAACAGUCUUUCCUUAAUGUCUUUUAAUGCUAAAUAUGACUCCUAGGAUGGGCCUCCCUGGCAGCUCAAUGGUAAAGAAUCUGCCUGCCAACGCAGGAGACACAAG